rnacentral:rRNA from 1 species
UGGGGAAUUUUCCGCAAUGGGCGCAAGCCUGACGCAGCAACGCCGCGUGGGGGAAGAAGGCCUUCGGGUUGUAAACUCCUUUUGCGAGGGACGAAGAUCUGACGGUACCUCGCGAAUAAGCCACGGCUAACUACGUGCCAGCAGCCGCGGUAAUACGUAGGUGGCGAGCGUUGUCCGGAUUUACUGGGCGUAAAGCGCGCGCAGGCGGACCGGUCAGUCCGGGGUGAAAUCUCACGGCUCAACUGUGAGGGGUCCCCGGAUACUGCCGAUCUCGAGGCGCCUAGAGGAGAGUGGAAUUCCCGGUGUAGUGGUGGAAUGCGUAGAUAUCGGGAGGAACACCAGUGGCGAAAGCGGCUCUCUGGGGGUGGCCUGACGCUGAGGCGCGAAAGCGUGGGGAGCGAACCGGAUUAGAUACCCCCGUAGUCC